GGGGGAACCCUGAUCCAGCGAUGCCGCGUGUGUGAAGAAGGCCUGCGGGUUGUAAAGCACUUUCAGUUGGGAAGAGAAUCUAAAGUUGAAGAGGCUUUAGAGGAGACGUUACUAACAGAAGAAGCACCGGCUAACUCUGUGCCAGCAGCCGCGGUAAGACAGAGGGUGCGAGCGUUAAUCGGAGUGACUGGGCGUAAAGGGCACGUAGGCGGCGAUGUUAGUCAGAUGUGAAAUUUCCGGGCUUAACCUGGGAUGUGCAUAUGAAACGGCAUUGCUAGAGUUUGGGAGAGGGAAGUGGAAUUUCCGGUGUAGCGGUGAAAUGCGUAGAUAUCGGAAGGAACACUCGUGGCGAAGGCGGCUUUCUGGCCCAAAACUGACGCUGAGGUGCGAGAGCGUGGGUAGCAAACAGGAUUAGAUACCCUGGUAGUCCACGCUGUAAACGAUGAGGACUGGGGGUUUGACCGGAAACGGAUGAGUCUCUAAGCAAACGCGCUAAGUUCUCCGCCUGGGGAGUA
rnacentral:rRNA from 1 species